GGCUGAUGCUCAGAUCAAGGUUCAACUCCGGGAAACUUUUAGUCUGCAGCCUUUUCAACUCCGGUGAGAAUUCCAAGCUGCCUGCACUGCUCGUUCCCGUACCUGUACUACCUGCCCCUGUGAUCAUCAUCAUCAUCAUAACCUUCUUCUCAUCAAUUAUCUCCUCCUUUGCAGUCGUCGUCUUUGAGAACGAAAUGGUGACAUCUGAAGACAAAGACGACGAAGAGUGGGGAUUAUUAUCAUGAACAUUCCGAUGCGUUAAUGGGUCCACUCCUCUGCUCAAAAGUUUUCUUCUUAUGUGAGUAUUCCAGUAGUUCUUGAUCUCAUUGUCUGUUCUCCCCGGUAAUCUUCCGGCAAUCAACGACCAUCUACACAUAUACACGUAAUUAAAUUAAUACAUAAAUUAUCAGUGGAUAAUUAAUUAUUACUAGCUUACUUGUUGCCAAGGAGGCUGUGGAGUUUGAUGAUGAGCUCGUCUUCUUCCUCUGUGAAAUUUCCACGCUUGAGAUCGGGACGGAGGUAGUUUAUCCAUCGG
rnacentral:lncRNA from 1 species